ACGCUGGCGGCAGGCCUAACACAUGCAAGUCGAGCGGUAGAGAGAAGCUUGCUUCUCUUGAGAGCGGCGGACGGGUGAGUAAUGCCUAGGAAUCUGCCUGGUAGUGGGGGAUAACGUUCGGAAACGGACGCUAAUACCGCAUACGUCCUACGGGAGAAAGCAGGGGACCUUCGGGCCUUGCGCUAUCAGAUGAGCCUAGGUCGGAUUAGCUAGUUGGUGGGGUAAUGGCUCACCAAGGCGACGAUCCGUAACUGGUCUGAGAGGAUGAUCAGUCACACUGGAACUGAGACACGGUCCAGACUCCUACGGGAGGCAGCAGUGGGGAAUAUUGGACAAUGGGCGAAAGCCUGAUCCAGCCAUGCCGCGUGUGUGAAGAAGGUCUUCGGAUUGUAAAGCACUUUAAGUUGGGAGGAAGGGUUGUAGAUUAAUACUCUGCAAUUUUGACGUUACCGACAGAAUAAGCACCGGCUAACUCUGUGCCAGCAGCCGCGGUAAUACAGAGGGUGCAAGCGUUAAUCGGAAUUACUGGGCGUAAAGCGCGCGUAGGUGGUUAGUUAAGUUGGAUGUGAAAUCCCCGGGCUCAACCUGGGAACUGCAUUCAAACUGACUGGCUAGAGUAUGG
rnacentral:rRNA from 1 species